UACGGAGGGUGCGAGCGUUGUCCGGAAUCAUUGGGCGUAAAGGGCGCGUAGGCGGCCCGGUCAGCGUGCGGUGAAAGCUCGGGGCUCAACCCCGAGUCGGCCGUGCGAACUGCUGGGCUUGAGCACUGUAGAGGCAGGCGGAAUUCCGGGUGUAGCGGUGGAAUGCGUAGAGAUCGGGAGGAACACCCGUGGCGAAGGCGGCCAUCUGGACCAGCACUGACGCUGAGGCACGAAAGCGUGGGGAGCAAACAGG
rnacentral:rRNA from 1 species